AGCGAACGCUGGCGGCAGGCCUAACACAUGCAAGUCGAACGAAGUCUUCGGACUUAGUGGCGGACGGGUGAGUAACACGUGGGAACGUGCCUUUAGGUUCGGAAUAACUCAGGGAAACUUGUGCCAAUACCGAAUGUGCCCUUCGGCGGAAAGAUUGAUCGCCUUUAGAGCGGCCCGCGUCUGAUUAGCUAGUUGGUGAGGUAAAGGCUCACCAAGGCGACGAUCAGUAGGUGGUGUGGGAGGAUGGUCAGCCACGUUGGGACUGAGACAAGGCCCAAACUCCUACGGGAGGCGGCAGUGGGGAAUCUUGCGCAAUGGGCGAAAGCCUGACGCAGCCAUGCCGCGUGAAUGAUGAAGGUCUUAGGGUUGUAAAAUUCUUUCACCGGGGACGAUAAUGACGGUACCCGGAGAAGAAGCCCCGGCUAACUUCGUGCCAGCCGCCGCGGUAA
rnacentral:rRNA from 1 species